AUGGGAUUAAAAGAAAGAGAGGGUAGGGGGGAGAAAGGUAGAGGGUCGUCCCAGCAGCAUCAGAGCAGCCCGGCCGGGAGGGCCCAGUGGGUUCGACCGGAGGAGUAGGCUGGAAGUAGACCGUACAGGAGGUGUCGCGUUGACCAACCUCCUAUAUGCUCAAUUAACUCACGCCCUUUCACUCCCCCAUCGCCCCGUGUGGGGUAGCAAAGUGGAAAAAGUCUAGUUAAACUCCCUGCUUUUGCUUCCUCCCAAGGGAUUCUCUCUCUCUCUCUGUCUACGCCACUCGAUUCUUAGCCAGUCAUCCUUAGCGAGUAUGCUACAUGUGAUCAUCUCGUCAUCAUCAUGAUCAACAUCAUCAUCAUCAUCCCCCACGUGAGUGCACAAGAGCUCACCAGUGGCGAAGAAGAAGCACGUCCUCGGCGUUCGAUCUGGUCUGCGCCUGGUUCUGCUGUUUUGCGCCAGGAGUUCGCUCGGGCUUUGCGCGGAGCAGAAGACUUCCGCUUAUCACCCUGAUGAGCAAUGGCGGAUACUGGAUUGAGCCGAUGGAAGUCCGUGCACCACUGGUGCGACUCACGUUCCUGCUGUCUCAUGACCUCCGGGCAACUGUUGGUGCACCGACCUCC